rnacentral:rRNA from 1 species
UACGUAGGGUGCGAGCGUUGUCCGGAAUUACUGGGCGUAAAGAGCUCGUAGGUGGUUGUCGCGUUGUUCGUGAAAUCUCACGGCUUAACUGUGAGCGUGCGGGCGAUACGGGCAGACUGGAGUACUGCAGGGGAGACUGGAAUUCCUGGUGUAGCGGUGGAAUGCGCAGAUAUCAGGAGGAACACCGGUGGCGAAGGCGGCUUUCUGGGUCUUACCUGACGCUGAGGAACGAAAGCCAGGGGAGCGAACGGG